AGCGUACACGGUGGAUGCCCUGGCAGUCAGAGGCGAUGAAGGACGUGCUAAUCUGCGAUAAGCGUCGGUAAGGUGAUAUGAACCGUUAUAACCGGCGAUUUCCGAAUGGGGAAACCCAGUGUGAUUCGUCACACUAUCAUUAACUGAAUCCAUAGGUUAAUGAGGCGAACCGGGGGAACUGAAACAUCUAAGUACCCCGAGGAAAAGAAAUCAACCGAGAUUCCCCCAGUAGCGGCGAGCGAACGGGGAGCAGCCCAGAGCCUGAAUCAGUGUGUGUGUUAGUGGAAGCGUCUGGAAAGGCGCGCGAUACAGGGUGACAGCCCCGUACACAAAAAUGCACAUGCUGUGAGCUCGAUGAGUAGGGCGGGACACGUGGUAUCCUGUCUGAAUAUGGGGGGACCAUCCUCCAAGGCUAAAUACUCCUGACUGACCGAUAGUGAACCAGUACCGUGAGGGAAAGGCGAAAAGAACCCCGGCGAGGGGAGUGAAAAAGAACCUGAAACCGUGUACGUACAAGCAGUGGGAGCACAGAGCAAUCUGUGUGACUGCGUACCUUUUGUAUAAUGGGUCAGCGACUUAUAUUCUGUAGCAAGGUUAACCGAAUAGGGGAGCCGAAGGGAAACCGAGUCUUAACUGGGCGUUAAGUUGCAGGGUAUAGACCCGAAACCCGGUGAUCUAGCCAUGGGCAGGUUGAAGGUUGGGUAACACUAACUGGAGGACCGAACCGACUAAUGUUGAAAAAUUAGCGGAUGACUUGUGGCUGGGGGUGAAAGGCCAAUCAAACCGGGAGAUAGCUGGUUCUCCCCGAAAGCUAUUUAGGUAGCGCCUCGUGAAUUCAUCUCCGGGGGUAGAGCACUGUUUCGGCAAGGGGGUCAUCCCGACUUACCAACCCGAUGCAAACUGCGAAUACCGGAGAAUGUUAUCACGGGAGACACACGGCGGGUGCUAACGUCCGUCGUGAAGAGGGAAACAACCCAGACCGCCAGCUAAGGUCCCAAAGUCAUGGUUAAGUGGGAAACGAUGUGGGAAGGCCCAGACAGCCAGGAUGUUGGCUUAGAAGCAGCCAUCAUUUAAAGAAAGCGUAAUAGCUCACUGGUCGAGUCGGCCUGCGCGGAAGAUGUAACGGGGCUAAACCAUGCACCGAAGCUGCGGCAGCGACACUAUGUGUUGUUGGGUAGGGGAGCGUUCUGUAAGCCUGUGAAGGUGUACUGUGAGGUAUGCUGGAGGUAUCAGAAGUGCGAAUGCUGACAUAAGUAACGAUAAAGCGGGUGAAAAGCCCGCUCGCCGGAAGACCAAGGGUUCCUGUCCAACGUUAAUCGGGGCAGGGUGAGUCGACCCCUAAGGCGAGGCCGAAAGGCGUAGUCGAUGGGAAACAGGUUAAUAUUCCUGUACUUGGUGUUACUGCGAAGGGGGGACGGAGAAGGCUAUGUUGGCCGGGCGACGGUUGUCCCGGUUUAAGCGUGUAGGCUGGUUUUCCAGGCAAAUCCGGAAAAUCAAGGCUGAGGCGUGAUGACGAGGCACUACGGUGCUGAAGCAACAAAUGCCCUGCUUCCAGGAAAAGCCUCUAAGCAUCAGGUAACAUCAAAUCGUACCCCAAACCGACACAGGUGGUCAGGUAGAGAAUACCAAGGCGCUUGAGAGAACUCGGGUGAAGGAACUAGGCAAAAUGGUGCCGUAACUUCGGGAGAAGGCACGCUGAUAUGUAGGUGAAGUCCCUCGCGGAUGGAGCUGAAAUCAGUCGAAGAUACCAGCUGGCUGCAACUGUUUAUUAAAAACACAGCACUGUGCAAACACGAAAGUGGACGUAUACGGUGUGACGCCUGCCCGGUGCCGGAAGGUUAAUUGAUGGGGUCAGCGCAAGCGAAGCUCUUGAUCGAAGCCCCGGUAAACGGCGGCCGUAACUAUAACGGUCCUAAGGUAGCGAAAUUCCUUGUCGGGUAAGUUCCGACCUGCACGAAUGGCGUAAUGAUGGCCAGGCUGUCUCCACCCGAGACUCAGUGAAAUUGAACUCGCUGUGAAGAUGCAGUGUACCCGCGGCAAGACGGAAAGACCCCGUGAACCUUUACUAUAGCUUGACACUGAACAUUGAGCCUUGAUGUGUAGGAUAGGUGGGAGGCUUUGAAGUGUGGACGCCAGUCUGCAUGGAGCCGACCUUGAAAUACCACCCUUUAAUGUUUGAUGUUCUAACGUUGACCCGUGAUCCGGGUUGCGGACAGUGUCUGGUGGGUAGUUUGACUGGGGCGGUCUCCUCCUAAAGAGUAACGGAGGAGCACGAAGGUUGGCUAAUCCUGGUCGGACAUCAGGAGGUUAGUGCAAUGGCAUAAGCCAGCUUGACUGCGAGCGUGACGGCGCGAGCAGGUGCGAAAGCAGGUCAUAGUGAUCCGGUGGUUCUGAAUGGAAGGGCCAUCGCUCAACGGAUAAAAGGUACUCCGGGGAUAACAGGCUGAUACCGCCCAAGAGUUCAUAUCGACGGCGGUGUUUGGCACCUCGAUGUCGGCUCAUCACAUCCUGGGGCUGAAGUAGGUCCCAAGGGUAUGGCUGUUCGCCAUUUAAAGUGGUACGCGAGCUGGGUUUAGAACGUCGUGAGACAGUUCGGUCCCUAUCUGCCGUGGGCGCUGGAGAACUGAGGGGGGCUGCUCCUAGUACGAGAGGACCGGAGUGGACGCAUCACUGGUGUUCGGGUUGUCAUGCCAAUGGCACUGCCCGGUAGCUAAAUGCGGAAGAGAUAAGUGCUGAAAGCAUCUAAGCACGAAACUUGCCCCGAGAUGAGUUCUCCCUGACUCCUUGA
rnacentral:rRNA from 1 species